GCGUCCAACAAUAAAGUCAAAACUGAAAGGAAUUCAAACAAGUCAUUUCAAAACCCCCAAUCAAUCACAGGAAUUACCGUGAUCCUGUCGAAGAAAGACGUGCCUCCUCCUCCUCCGGAAGAAGAUGUGGCCUGGUGUCUACUCAUAGUUUUAUGAUCUCUACUCACUCAGUCCCUUCGGAUGAUGGUGGUUGUGGUGGUGGUCUUAGUAGCA
rnacentral:lncRNA from 1 species